rnacentral:sRNA from 1 species
AACUAAACCUGAUCGCAGCGGACAAGUAGUGCAGCGGAGUAAAGCGAAGAGCAGGAAGACAC